rnacentral:rRNA from 1 species
UGCCAAGACCUGAGAAGAGGGGGUGGUCAGAUGGAGGUGGCGGGUGGGGCGUGGUGCGCUGCGAGGGGUAGAGGGGGCGGGCGCGGCGGAACUAGGGAGGAGGCUCAGGAGGGGGGUUCAGAUCCGGCCGCGGCGGAAGAAGGGGGUACGACGUGGCGGCGACGGACCAAGGUCUAGAUUUAGAACCUAAAACGCGUCGCCUGGUUGCUGCGUAGGUAGGGGUUCACGGGGACCAGUACCGCCGGCAGCAAGUACGGGUGGAGGUGAUGGUAAUGGAGGGGGGAGGAGGCAGGCAGCGGAGCGACUGGGCCGGAGAAGUGGAACGGUACCGCGAGGGGUGUGGGGCGCGAGGACGGACGGGCGGAGGCGCGCGGGGAGGGGCGGACGUGGAAGGGGGAGCGACAGUGGUCGUGUCUACUCGCCCUCCGUUUACUCCUCAAACACCACCGGUGUAUGUUCGACCACGGGCAGCUGCUGGGGGCGCGUGUUGAGGUGAAGAGGGAACCCGGUAAAUCAAAGUCAAGUCAAGUGAUAUAAACCCUAUAGACUACUUUCUGUACUAAAAAGAAAUGUGUAACGUAGAGAGGAUAUGGUCCAAUCCUUCUAAUGAACCUGCGAAAAGUACGAAGAGGUCGUAACUGGCCCGUACGAGAGGUCAUACUCGUUAGUGAAUAAGUCUAGUAUGUCACUGUGAGAACUGACGUGUUGUUAUUAGUCGCCGCAGCCGUCGGCUUCGCCUGCUUCACCGACCAGGACGCUCACCGCCACCACCAGCGGAUGCACCGCGUCCACCCGCCGCCACCAGUAGGGGUACCGUCGCCGCGUCCACCCGCCACCGCGACUCGGGCUGCCACCUACGUGACCAGCGAGGGCACGCAGCACCACCCGCUCCACGGGUCCACCCACCGCCACCAGCUCGACGUGUCCACCAGCCACUACCAGCGGAGGCACCGCCGCCACUUCCACCCACCGCCUUAACCUGGGCUACCACCGAGCACGCCCGCCACCACAACUUACUAAAAAGAAAAACAACGUUUUUAAUAUUGCUUGAUGUAAACGCUGUUCGAAAAGAAAUCAUAAAUACAGAACUGAGCAUGAGAUAGUACAAAAAUUAAAUAAAUAAACUUAGUCUUUGGCUU